rnacentral:rRNA from 1 species
UGGGGAAUAUUGGGCAAUGGGCGCAAGCCUGACCCAGCAAUGCCGCGUGUGUGAAGAAGGCCUGCGGGUUGUAAAGCACUUUGAGCGGGGAAGAAGGGGGGUGGCCUAAUAAGCUGUUCUUUUGACGUUACCCGCAGAACAAGCACCGGCUAACUCCGUGCCAGCAGCCGCGGUAAUACGGAGGGUGCGAGCGUUAAUCGGAAUUACUGGGCGUAAAGCGUGCGUAGGCGGGCCGUUAAGUCUUGCGUGAAAGCCCCGGGCUCAACCUGGGAACUGCGCGGGAUACUGGCGGCCUAGAGUGCGGGAGAGGGCGGUGGAAUUUCCGGUGUAGCAGUGAAAUGCGUAGAGAUCGGAAGGAACACCAGUGGCGAAGGCGGCCGCCUGGACCGGCACUGACGCUGAGGCACGAAAGCGUGGGGAGCAAACA